UACAGAGGGUGCGAGCGUUGUUCGGAAUUAUUGGGCGUAAAGGGCGCGUAGGCGGUGCGGUAAGUCACCUGUGAAAUCUCCUGGCUCAACUGGGAGCUUGCAGGCGAAACUGCCGUGCUGGAGUGUGGGAGAGGUGCGUGGAAUUCCCGGUGUAGCGGUGAAAUGGCGUAGAUAUCGGGAGGAACACCUGUGGCGAAAGCGGCGCACUGGACCACAACUGACGCUGAGGCGCGAAAGCUAGGGGAGCAAACAGGAUAGAAACC
rnacentral:rRNA from 1 species